rnacentral:rRNA from 1 species
CCUACGGUGGACAGCAGUGAGGAAUAUUGGUCAAUGGACGAGAGUCUGAACCAGCCAAGUCGCGUGAAGGAUGACUGCCCUAUGGGUUGUAAACUUCUUUUAUAUGUGAAUAAACUGUUCCACGUGUGGGCGUUUGUAUGUACCCUAUGAAUAAGGAUCGGCUAACUCCGUGCCAGCAGCCGCGGUAAUACGGAGGAUCCGAGCGUUAUCCGGAUUUAUUGGGUUUAAAGGGAGCGUAGGUGGAUUGUUAAGUCAGUUGUGAAAGUUUGCGGCUCAACCGUAAAAUUGCAGUUGAAACUGGUAGGCUUGAGUACAGUAGAGGUGGGCGGAAUUCGUGGUGUAGCGGUGAAAUGCUUAGAGAUCACGAAGAACUCCGAUUGCGAAGGCAGCUCACUGGACUGCAACUGACACUGAGGCUCGAAAGUGUGGGUAUCAAACAGGAUUAGAUACCCUUGUAGUC